UACGGGGGGGGGCAAGCGUUGUUCGGAAUUACUGGGCGUAAAGGGUUCGUAGGUGGCUGGCUAAGUCAGACGUGAAAUCCCUCAGCUCAACUGGGGAACUGCGUCUGAGACUGGUCAGCUUGAGUGCAGGAGAGGAACGCGGAAUUCCAGGUGUAGCGGUGAAAUGCGUAGAUAUCUGGAGGAGCGAGCCGGUAGGCGGAAGGCGGCGUUCUGGACUGACAACUGACACUGAGGGAACGAAAAGCCCAGGGGGAGCAAACGGGG
rnacentral:rRNA from 1 species